rnacentral:misc_RNA from 1 species
GAUGAAGAACGUAGCGAAAUGCGAUACGUAAUGUGAAUUGCAGAAUUCAGUGAAUCAUCGAAUCUUUGAACGCAUAUUGCGCUCUCUGGUAUUCCGGAGAGCAUGCUUGUUUGAGUAUCAGUAAACACCUCAACUCCCUUUCUUCUUGAAAUGGAGCUGGACUUGAGUGAUCCCAACGCUUUAUUCAUAAAGUGGCGGGUUACUUGAAAUGCAGGUGCAGCUGGACUUUUCUCUGAGCUAUAAGCAUAUCUAUUUAGUCUGCCUCAAAACAGAUUAUUACCUUGCUGCAGCUAACAUAAAGGAGAUUAGUUCUUGUGCUGACUGAUGCAGGAUUCACAAAGACCGCUUCGGCUGUCUUUGUAAACUCGAUCUCAAAUCAAGUAAGACUACCCGCUGAACUUAAGCAUAUCAAUAAGCGGAGGA